rnacentral:rRNA from 2 species
GAUUAAGUUAUUAAGGGCGCACGGUGGAUGCCUUGGCACUAGAAGCCGAUGAAGGACGUUACUAACGACGAUAUGCUUUGGGGAGCUGUAAGUAAGCGUUGAUCCAGAGAUUUCCGAAUGGGGAAACCCAGCAUGAGUUAUGUCAUGUUAUCGAUAUGUGAAUACAUAGCAUAUCAGAAGGCAGACCCGGAGAACUGAAACAUCUUAGUACCCGGAGGAAGAGAAAGAAAAAUCGAUUCCCUGAGUAGCGGCGAGCGAAACGGGAAGAGCCCAAACCAACAAGCUUGCUUGUUGGGGUUGUAGGACACUCUAUACGGAGUUACAAAAGUAUAUAUUAGACGAAUCAUCUGGAAAGUUGAAUCAAAGAAGGUAAUAAUCCUGUAGUCGAAAAUAUAUACUCUCUUGAGUGGAUCCUGAGUACGACGGAGCACGUGAAAUUCCGUCGGAAUCUGGGAGGACCAUCUCCUAAGGCUAAAUACUCUCUAGUGACCGAUAGUGAACCAGUACCGUGAGGGAAAGGUGAAAAGUACCCCGGAAGGGGAGUGAAAGAGAACUUGAAACCGUGUGCUUACAAGUAGUCAGAGCCCGUUAAUGGGUGAUGGCGUGCCUUUUGUAGAAUGAACCGGCGAGUUACGAUUUGAUGCAAGGUUAAGCAGCUAAUGUGGAGCCGUAGCGAAAGCGAGUCUGAAUAGGGCGUUUAGUAUUUGGUCGUAGACCCGAAACCAGGUGAUCUACCCUUGGUCAGGUUGAAGUUCAGGUAACACUGAAUGGAGGACCGAACCGACUUACGUUGAAAAGUGAGCGGAUGAACUGAGGGUAGCGGAGAAAUUCCAAUCGAACUUGGAGAUAGCUGGUUCUCUCCGAAAUAGCUUUAGGGCUAGCCUCAAGUGAUGAUUAUUGGAGGUAGAGCACUGUUUGGACGAGGGGCCCUUCUCGGGUUACCGAAUUCAGACAAACUCCGAAUGCCAAUUAAUUUAACUUGGGAGUCAGAACAUGGGUGAUAAGGUCCGUGUUCGAAAGGGAAACAGCCCAGACCACCAGCUAAGGUCCCAAAAUAUAUGUUAAGUGGAAAAGGAUGUGGCGUUGCCCAGACAACUAGGAUGUUGGCUUAGAAGCAGCCAUCAUUUAAAGAGUGCGUAAUAGCUCACUAGUCGAGUGACACUGCGCCGAAAAUGUACCGGGGCUAAACAUAUUACCGAAGCUGUGGAUUGUCCGUAGGACAAUGGUAGGAGAGCGUUCUAAGGGCGUCGAAGCAUGAUCGCAAGGACAUGUGGAGCGCUUAGAAGUGAGAAUGCCGGUGUGAGUAGCGAAAGACGGGUGAGAAUCCCGUCCACCGAUUGACUAAGGUUUCCAGAGGAAGGCUCGUCCGCUCUGGGUUAGUCGGGUCCUAAGCUGAGGCCGACAGGCGUAGGCGAUGGAUAACAGGUUGAUAUUCCUGUACCACCUAGUAUCGUUUUAAUCGAUGGGGGGACGCAGUAGGAUAGGCGAAGCGUGCUAUUGGAUUGCACGUCCAAGCAGUAAGACUGAGUGUUAGGCAAAUCCGGCACUCAUAAGGUCAAGCUGUGAUGGGGAGAGGAAAUUGUUUCCUCGAGUCGUUGAUUUCACACUGCCAAGAAAAGCCUCUAGAUAGAUAACAGGUGCCCGUACCGCAAACCGACACAGGUAGUCAAGAUGAGAAUUCUAAGGUGAGCGAGCGAACUCUCGUUAAGGAACUCGGCAAAAUGACCCCGUAACUUCGGGAGAAGGGGUGCUCUUUAGGGUUAACGCCCAGAAGAGCCGCAGUGAAUAGGCCCAAGCGACUGUUUAUCAAAAACACAGGUCUCUGCUAAACCGUAAGGUGAUGUAUAGGGGCUGACGCCUGCCCGGUGCUGGAAGGUUAAGAGGAGUAGUUAGCUUCUGCGAAGCUACGAAUCGAAGCCCCAGUAAACGGCGGCCGUAACUAUAACGGUCCUAAGGUAGCGAAAUUCCUUGUCGGGUAAGUUCCGACCCGCACGAAAGGCGUAACGAUUUGGGCACUGUCUCAACGAGAGACUCGGUGAAAUCAUAGUACCUGUGAAGAUGCAGGUUACCCGCGACAGGACGGAAAGACCCCGUGGAGCUUUACUGUAGCCUGAUAUUGAAAUUCGGCACAGCUUGUACAGGAUAGGUAGGAGCCUUUGAAACGUGAGCGCUAGCUUACGUGGAGGCAUUGGUGGGAUACUACCCUAGCUGUGUUGGCUUUCUAACCCGCACCACUUAUCGUGGUGGGAGACAGUGUCAGGUGGGCAGUUUGACUGGGGCGGUCGCCUCCUAAAAGGUAACGGAGGCGCUCAAAGGUUCCCUCAGAAUGGUUGGAAAUCAUUCAUAGAGUGUAAAGGCAUAAGGGAGCUUGACUGCGAGACUUACAAGUCGAGCAGGGUCGAAAGACGGACUUAGUGAUCCGGUGGUUCCGCAUGGAAGGGCCAUCGCUCAACGGAUAAAAGCUACCCCGGGGAUAACAGGCUUAUCUCCCCCAAGAGUUCACAUCGACGGGGAGGUUUGGCACCUCGAUGUCGGCUCAUCGCAUCCUGGGGCUGUAGUCGGUCCCAAGGGUUGGGCUGUUCGCCCAUUAAAGCGGUACGCGAGCUGGGUUCAGAACGUCGUGAGACAGUUCGGUCCCUAUCCGUCGUGGGCGUAGGAAAUUUGAGAGGAGCUGUCCUUAGUACGAGAGGACCGGGAUGGACAUACCUCUGGUGUACCAGUUGUCGUGCCAACGGCAUAGCUGGGUAGCUAUGUAUGGACGGGAUAAGUGCUGAAAGCAUCUAAGCAUGAAGCCCCCCUCAAGAUGAGAUUUCCCAACUUCGGUUAUAAGAUCCCUCAAAGAUGAUGAGGUUAAUAGGUUCGAGGUGGAAGCGUGGUGACACGUGGAGCUGACGAAUACUAAUCGAUCGAAGACUUAAUCAA